rnacentral:rRNA from 14 species
CUUGAGAGUUUGAUCCUGGCUCAGAACGAACGCUGGCGGCAUGCCUAACACAUGCAAGUCGAACGAACCCUUCGGGGUUAGUGGCGCACGGGUGCGUAACGCGUGGGAACCUGCCUUUAGGUUCGGAAUAACAGUUAGAAAUGACUGCUAAUACCGGAUAAUGUCUUCGGACCAAAGAUUUAUUGCCUUUAGAUGGGCCCGCGUUGGAUUAGAUAGUUGGUGGGGUAAUGGCCUACCAAGUCGACGAUCCAUAGCUGGUCUGAGAGGAUGAUCAGCCACACUGGGACUGAGACACGG